UACGUAGGGGCCUAGCGUUGUCCGGAAUUAUUGGGCGUAAAGAGCUCGUAGGCGGUUCGGCAAGUCGGAUGUGAAAUCUCCACGCUUAACGUGGAGGGGCCAUUCGAAACUGCUGUGACUCGAGUCCGGUAGGGGAGUGUGGAAUUCCCGGUGUAGCGGUGAAAUGCGCAGAUAUCGGGGAGGAACACCAGCGGCGAAGGCGGCGCUCUGGGCCGGUACUGACGCUGAGGAGCGAAAGCGUGGUAGCAAACAGG
rnacentral:rRNA from 1 species